rnacentral:lncRNA from 1 species
AAACCACACACACACUCACACACUAGGUGUGUACGUGCGAUCGAGCAGGAGAAAGGGGAAGGGGUGUAAACCCUAACCCACAAGAAAUCAUCAAAUUGAAAAGGGAACCGAGGGCUGAUUGUAUCCAUGAACCAAGAAUGAUGAUCCCUUAAGCGUUUCUAACAUCGAGAAAUAAUAGGAACAUGUCAAGGAAAGCUCAAGCAUGGAAAGGCUAACGAGUCAACAGUAAACAUGGGAACUAUGCGUAAAUUCGGACGCACGAGGUAUCACACUGAUUUCCUCUACCACUAACGAAGAUAAGCGGGCAUAGAUCAAGUCAAAGAACAAGGAUUGUACGGAUAGGACGGUCACCUAGCUUGAAUUAUGUAACGCGCCUGGAAGUAUUAAUUUAAGUAUGAACGUUGUUAAUUCUUUCUAGUAAAAGUUUGACAUUUUUGUAACUAAGCCUUUUCGUAAGUAAUGUCCUUAAUAAAAAAAGAAUUUUUAAGCUCAU